rnacentral:lncRNA from 1 species
CACAGAUAAAAGGUCAAGAAAAACCAGGAAGAGAGAGAGAGGGCGGGAAGGAUCUAUGAACCAUAGAGAAAGAGACAAUCUACAUUGGCUGGAUUUACCGUGUACAAGCUUGACUGUUUUGGACUUACCUGUUGGCGUUUAGACCUGGACCUACCGAGAACCAGAUUUGUGUACCGAACCCUGCUAUCCUUGACCUUACCUGUGGCCUGGGUGGACCAGGACAGCGAAACAAACACACAGACAGCCGUUACAGAAUUACCCACCAAACCCGGACCAAGCGGCGGAAGAGGAAGGAGCAGCAGGAGUAUAGCGUUAUGGACCAAUGGACUUGGGAACAGAUCCUGGACGGAGAGGGACCAUGGACUCAGGCUGGGGAAUAUCGCCUCCCUCAGUGGGAGAUUGAAGCGGC